UACGUAGGGUGCAAGCGUUGUCCGGAAUUAUUGGGCGUAAAGAGCUCGUAGGCGGUCUGUCGCGUCUGCUGUGAAAACUCAGGGCUUAACCCUGAGCUUGCAGUGGGUACGGGCAGACUAGAGUGCGGUAGGGGAGACUGGAAUUCCUGGUGUAGCGGUGAAAUGCGCAGAUAUCAGGAGGAACACCGGUGGGCGAAGGCGGGUCUCUGGGCCGUAA
rnacentral:rRNA from 1 species